rnacentral:rRNA from 1 species
UACGAAGGGGGCUAGCGUUGUUCGGAAUUACUGGGCGUAAAGCGCGCGUAGGCGGCUUUGUAAGUUAGAGGUGAAAGCCCGGAGCUUAACUCCGGAAUUGCCUUUAAGACUGCAUCGCUAGAAUUGUGGAGAGGUAAGUGGAAUUCCGAGUGUAGAGGUGAAAUUCGUAGAUAUUCGGAAGAACACCAGUGGCGAAGGCGACUUACUGGACACAUAUUGACGCUGAGGUGCGAAAGCGUGGGGAGCAAACAGG